AUUGAACGCUGGCGGCAGGCCUAACACAUGCAAGUCGAAUGGUAACAGGAAACAGCUUGCUGUUUCGCUGCCGAGUGGCGGACGGGUGAGUAAUGUCUGGGAAACUGCCUGAUGGAGGGGGAUAACUACUGGAAACGGUAGCUAAUACCGCAUAACGUCGCAAGACCAAAGAGGGGGACCUUCUGGCCUCUUGCCAUCAGAUGUGCCCAGAUGGGAUUAGCUAGUAGGUGGGGUAACGGCUCACCUAGGCGACGAUCCCUAGCUGGUCUGAGAGGAUGACCAGCCACACUGGAACUGAGACACGGUCCAGACUCCUACGGGAGGCAGCAGUGGGGAAUAUUGCACAAUGGGCGCAAGCCUGAUGCAGCCAUGCCGCGUGUAUGAAGAAGGCCUUCGGGUUGUAAAGUACUUUCAGCGGGGAGGAAGGGAGUAAAGUUAAUACCUUGGCUCAUUGACGUUACCCGCAGAAGAAGCACCGGCUAACUCCGUG
rnacentral:rRNA from 1 species